AUUGAACGCUGGCGGCAGGCCUAACACAUGCAAGUCGAACGGCAGCACAGAAGAGCUUGCUCUUUGGGUGGCGAGUGGCGGACGGGUGAGUAAUGUCUGGGAAACUGCCCGAUGGAGGGGGAUAACUACUGGAAACGGUAGCUAAUACCGCAUAACGUCGCGAGACCAAAGUGGGGGACCUUCGGGCCUCACACCAUCGGAUGUGCCCAGAUGGGAUUAGCUAGUAGGUGGGGUAAUGGCUCAACUAGGCGACGAUCCCUAGCUGGUCUGAGAGGAUGACCAGCCACACUGGAACUGGGACACGGUCCAGACUCCUACGGGAGGCAGCAGUGGGGAAUAUUGCACAAUGGGCGCAAGCCUGAUGCAGCCAUGCCGCGUGUAUGAAGAAGGCCUUCGGGUUGUAAAGUACUUUCAGCGGGGAGGAAGGCGGUGAGGUUAAUAACCUCGCCGAUUGACGUUACCCGCAGAAGAAGCACCGGCUAACUCCGUGCCAGCAGCCGCAGUAA
rnacentral:rRNA from 1 species